AACGACUCUCGGCAACGGAUAUCUCGGCUCUCGCAUCGAUGAAGAACGUAGCGAAAUGCGAUACUUGGUGUGAAUUGCAGAAUCCCGUGAACCAUCGAGUCUUUGAACGCAAGUUGCGCCCGAAGCCACUAGGCCGAGGGCACGUCUGGCUGGGUGUCACACAACG
rnacentral:rRNA from 1 species